rnacentral:lncRNA from 1 species
UUAAAAAUUGGCUUAGAUCUGAGAUAAUAAAAGCUUCAAAAACAGAAGAAAAAAAAAUAGGAAUCAAAGGGAUUUUCAAGGGUGUUUCUAAUUGAUGUCGAUCACUUUAAACUUUCUAGGUUUCAAGAGAAUAAUUCAGUCUCAAAAACACUAUUAUUUGCUGUUGAUUCUGCUGUUGAUUCAGCUAUUUAGUAGUUGAGCUCCAUCAUUCUUUUUAGCCUUUAUUUUUCCUAUAAAAUUAAUCUUCGAAUAUUAGGUAUUUCUCUCAGCUUUGUACUUUAGUUCCUUUGAAUAAUGAAGCUCCUUGAUCUUCUGUGUUGACACAUGUGUGCUAAUUUAUGAUUUUUUGUGAUAGUUUAUCUGUUAGAGAUGUUUAACAUGCCAUACAUGAUGAUUAAAUAGAUAUAUAAAAUUAAUUGGUAAAAGCAUGUUGUGGGUGUAAUAGUAUGCAAAAGUGGUCCUGAAAUUCAUUAGGUGAUUUUUUUGAGCAACUUGUUAACAUUAAAUUUUGCUAAGUUUGGAAAGAAGUUGUGUUUGUUAUCAUAUGCAAAGAUUGAGACUCAAUUGAUCUUAAUUUUGUUCUUUUGCUUUGUUUGAUUGAUGUUUCGAUCUAUAAGAUUAGCCCCAUGGCUAUUGUCUUACAAAUUCUGAUUUUGCUUGAAGAAAUACAAAACCACACGGCCCGGAGAUAGCUAUUUCGUGAUAGACGAUGUAACGGAAGGCGCAGAAUCAGAUUUAGAAGUUUUACAAUUCAUGUCAUUUUAGUCACAAUUGUACAAUUGAAUAUCAAUCUCUCUAGCCCCAUUGCUAUUGUCUUACAAAUUCUAAUUUUGCUUGAAGAAAUACAAAACCACACGGCCCGGAGAUAGCUAUUUCGUUAAAGACGAUGUAACGGAAGGCGCAGAAUCAGAUUUAGAAGUUUUACAAUUCAUGUCAUUUUAGUCACAAUUGUACAAUUGAAUAUCAAUCUCUCUAGCCAUCUAUCUGAUUGAAUAGAUAAACUAUGAGCUGCAGUUGUUUCUUUUAUGGUUGAUUUAAGAGCGUUGAUGGGCC